rnacentral:rRNA from 1 species
GUCCACGCCGUAAACGAUGGAUGCUAGCCGUCGGCAAGCUUGCUUGUCGGUGGCGCAGCUAACGCAUUAAGCAUCCCGCCUGGGGAGUACGGCCGCAAGGUUAAAACUCAAAGGAAUUGACGGGGGCCCGCACAAGCGGUGGAGCAUGUGGUUUAAUUCGACGCAACGCGAAGAACCUUACCAAGCCUUUACAUGUCCGGAUCGGCCUCAGAAAAGGGGUCUUCCCAGCAAUGGGCCGGAACACAGGUGCUGCAUGGCUGUCGU